rnacentral:rRNA from 1 species
UACGUAGGGUGCAAGCGUUGUCCGGAAUUAUUGGGCGUAAAGAGCUCGUAGGCGGUCUGUCGCGUCUGCUGUGAAAACUCAGGGCUUAACCCUGAGCUUGCAGUGGGUACGGGCAGACUAGAGUGCGGUAGGGGAGACUGGAAUUCCUGGUGUAGCGGUGAAAUGCGCAGUUAUCAGGAGGAACACCGGUGGCGAAGGCGGGUCUCUGGGCCGUAACUGACGCUGAGGAGCGAAAGCAUGGGGAGCGAACAGG